UGUAGUCUCAACGAUGAUGCAUACAUGUCAACUAUGGGUGUUGGGUCCAACAAUUCGCAUUGGUCUCAAACCAAUGACAUCCAUUUGGAAGACCAUGAGUUUAAGGUGGACGAGGAGGGUGAGGGCAUUGUCGACGCGCCGAAAGGAAGAGCGGGCAAUUACAGCACCAACGAUGACAAGUUACUAUGCAAUACUUAUUUGCAAGUGUCGAGGGAUCCAUCCAUUGGAGGUGAUCAAAGUAGAGAUGCGUAUUGGGGGCGAAUGAAAAAAAAUACUUUGAUGAUCACAACGUGA
rnacentral:rRNA from 1 species